GCCACUCCGUACCGUUCGUAAUUAAUGUAUUGAUGUUCAUUAUAAUAGAUACAGUUUGUUAAAAUCUGGGAAAUGCUGUCACCUUACGACGAAGAUAAGAUGUGCACGUCGUAAAUAUAUUACUCCUGAUGAACCCAAAGAUCUUCUUUUUUCAUUACCAGAUAACUGGAAAACAGCUACAAUGGAAGCAUCGCGAUGUCUUCUCGGGCCGUUGACGCACGCACCCGCCGCCCUGGUCUAUCCCGUUCACCCGUUGGGACGCUGUCUGUCCCGUUCUGCCUCUUCCUUUUCACGAAGGACGAGUUCCGCAAAUGACCAUGACGAUCUAUGUUUUUCAAAUUUCUAGUAUGAGGUGGCCUACUUAUUGGACAAAUAAAUUUGCAUCAAACUACAAUUCAAGUAAGAACUUUUUAUAUUUUUCUAUCUUUUGCCCCUUAAGAGGAC